GAUGGGUGUGUUGUAGAGGUUAUACGUUUGACAACAAAACAAAAACCUGCACUGAAUGCAUGUAUCCUAAUUACGGACAGAACUGCAGUCGCCAAUGUAAAUGUAGCAAGUUGAAAUGCAGUCGAUUUUAUGGAUGUGGGAUAUCUACGACAAUGAGAGCAACUCAUCUUCAGAGCAGGAAGAAAACACAAUUGUCAACGUUAACAGAGUUUUCUACUGAGUCCCCAUCACAAGCUGUUUCAAAUAUUUCAGUCAUCAGUACAUAUAAGAUAUCAACUGAAGCAAUUAAGCAGGACUUUGAAGCAAAGUCAUUUUUCUUUGACAAACCCUUAUUAAUAUGUGUCAGCAUCUUCUCAAUGUUUGUACUCAUUCUUUUAGUGCUGUAUAUAUCGAUUCAAGUGUCUGAUAGAUUGAAAUAUAUAAGAGCCGUGAAUAGAAAUGAUAUGUAUGAAGGUGACCCUCGAAAUCACUACGAGGAAAUAGAACUCGUUACAAUAACUGAGAUACAAUAACCUUCUCUUCUAAGACUCUUAAGUGCAUACA